ensembl:snRNA U6 U6 spliceosomal RNA
AUGAUCACAUUAGCAACACAUACACUAAAAUCAGAAUGAUACAGAAAAGAUUAACACAGCCCCUGAACAAAGAUGACAUGCAAACUCAUUGAGCAUUCCAUAUUUUGU